rnacentral:rRNA from 1 species
GACAGAGGGUGCAACCGUUGUUCGGAUUUACUGGGCGUAAAGCGCGUGUAGGCGGCUUGGCAAGUUGAAUGUGAAAGCCCACGGCUCAACCGUGGAAGCGCAUCCAAAACUGCUUCGCUUGAGUCUCGGAGAGGAAGGUGGAAUGCUUGGUGUAGAGGUGAAAUUCGUAGAUAUCAAGCAGAACACCUGCGGCGAAGGCGGCCUUCUGGACGAUGACUGACGCUGAGACGCGAAAGCGUGGGGAGCAAACAGG